GGAGGAUCCGAGCGUUAUCCGGAUUUAUUGGGUUUAAAGGGAGCGUAGGUGGACUGGUAAGUCAGUUGUGAAAGUUUGCGGCUCAACCGUAAAAUUGCAGUUGAUACUGUCAGUCUUGAGUACAGUAGAGGUGGGCGGAAUUCGUGGUGUAGCGGUGAAAUGCUUAGAUAUCACGAAGAACUCCGAUUGCGAAGGCAGCUCACUGGACUGCAACUGACACUGAUGCUCGAAAGUGUGGGUAUCAAACAGGAUUAGAUACCCUGGUAGUCCACACAGUAAACGAUGAAUACUCGCUGUUUGCGAUAUACAGUAAGCGGCCAAGCGAAAGCAUUAAGUACUCCACCUGGGGGGUACGCCGGCAACGGUG
rnacentral:rRNA from 1 species